UAAAUCUCUUUUACAAGACAAACCAUAUCAAAACACGCAAGAGAGCAGAACAGAAACCAGGUUACUUCUACAGACAUAAAUGAAGUUUAACAAAAAAAGAAAAAAAGACAUCCUCUCUCUCUUUUUCACAUGGACAACUCACCUCCCAUUUCUUUCCUGAUCACAUCCCAGGCCACAUGGAUAAUGGUGGUCCAUAUAAGAAGUAAUCUCAGGAUGGAAAUUGUAUUCAGGGGGCUUAGUGUCCAGUCGGACCUCACGGCUGAAUGUGACGUACAGAAAUGUGACCCAGGGAGCCUGUUCUGGGCAUUCCACUGGAUGGAUUUGGAAGAAGACUUCACAGAGUGGUAACAUUGGAUCCCAGAAGACAUACUAGGGGUUUGGGGUCCUGGUUGGACCUCCUGUUGGUGUACCCUGGUCAGAACUUUGACACAGGGAGCCUGUUGUGGGCCUUCCACUGGAUGGAUUUGGAUGAAAACUUUAAUGAACUGUAAUAAUUUAAAAUACAUUUAUGUUCACUAUUGUUCUUGUACUGUGUAGAAUUUACUGCAUGCUUCAGCACCUCCCACCACCAUCACUCAUUACAAUUCUAUCCCACUGAACUCACUGUAUGGCUCACCACCUCCCCCUCCACCAUCAUUCACUUCUAUUCAGUGCCACCAUGUACUAUGACCUGUAAUGUAUACAAUACAAUGUCUAUAGCGGUUUAGCGCAAAAUGCAGCUGGGUGGCAUAUCAUAAAAAAAAUUAUUUAAUCCUUUUUCCUGUAUUGAAGAUAAAAAGAAACAAACAAAAAAUGAUUUACACAAUAUUAUCGCCCCUUUCCAACCCUUGAACUCGAGGCUCCGGCUAUGUAAAGCACUCACCUUACAAACUCUGCCAAUCUCAGCUGGAGAUUGUAAUGCAACUUUCUGUCCAGCAGAUGUCGCUUUUUCUAAACUGCACAGCGCAUGCGUCAAAUAGUCAACUAUGCUUCUGAAAUGCCACCUGUUGAUUGGCUGAUGGAACCUGUCAUUCAUUACACUAUAUAGUAACACUGAACUGCAUUUUGUCAUGAAUGCAGAGCUGCAGUUGAGUGGAAUAAAGGAUUAAAUCAC